AAAUUUGAAGGCAUGUACUAAAAGGUGGAGUGGAGUGGAGUGUAGUAUUGGAGUGGAGUGGUGGAGUGUUGGAGUGGAGUCAUGGAGUGAAAUAUACUUAACAUAUCCAAAAUAAUAUCAAUUUAAAAAUCAUUUAUAAUUGUUUGGGUUUUUUAAAUUGCAGCACACAAUGAUUUUAUAUUAUUUCAUUUGACAUAUUUGAUUGUUCAUCAAAGUUGGACAAUGUUUUGGGUAGCAUUUUAUGACAGCUUAGAUGGAGGGGGAUAAUGUUGUUUAUCAUUUUAUUUAUUUUACUGUCCUGAAUUGUGUAUUUCUAAUAAGAAGGGGAAAGCAAAGGCCCAGUAACCUAUGCAGUUAAGAUUAACUUUAGACAAGCUCACAAAACUGUUAUUGAAAUACACACAUUGCUUAUGUUAAUUUUCAAAUUGUGGUAGGUUUAGUCCCUAGUUAAAAA
rnacentral:lncRNA from 1 species